rnacentral:lncRNA from 1 species
CGUGUGCUUGUUCUCAGUUUUGCUGAACCGUUGUCAAAAGACAUGCUCUCUCUGCAGGCCUCCGCUGUCGUUCCCGAGCUCGGCCGAGCGCGAGCCCAGCCGCCCUCCGAGCUACCGUUCUCGCACCAGCUCGGCGGCCGGCGGCGGGAUCCUGCGCUCGUGCGUGGGCGGCAACGCUUCAUGCAGUCAGGACACCCUGGCCACCGUGAGCCCGGCUGAGGACGAGGACCAGCGGCCGCUGCACAGCCGCAACCCGUCGCUCACGCUGAGCACGCUGUCUCAGGAGGAGUCGUCGGCCGCCGCCGGGCCGACGGGCGCGACGAGCCAGCCCGCCGACGUCGUGCGCCGAAGUUACAACACCAGCGUGCUCGGGGGUGGCAGCCUGUCGUCAUCGAACCGAAACACGCCAAGCCCUCCACCGGGAAGCUCGUCGAAAGCACCCGACCCACACCUACUGCGCAAGAACCACGAUGUCAACACGGUGACUAUCGUGCAGACGACAGACACAUCGCAGGUCAUCAACCAGGAUACCGUGAUCGUGUCAGUGUCUGGACAUAACGCGCGCACACUGGUGCUGCCCUCGGGACACUCGGAGGUGCAGGUGACUCUCGCGCAUGUCUGACACGCAGCCACUCGGCGCCCUUCGUCGCCGCCAGACGCCUCGACGUCAUACGCCUGCGCAGGCAGGCAUUGCGGCUGCCGGCGCCUGCAUGUCGCCCAGGAUGAUAGGCGGCGGCGGCGCCGUGCAAGAGACGGGGAUGGCAUGCCGAUAUGCCACGACUUUCUGCAGACUCCUGGCUACUCCUUGUGGAGACUGCAUGAACAGGGCAUCUAAAGACUGUCUCCUUUUGAUCUGCCAGUCAACCUUCGAACAUUCAGAUUCCUGAGCUGACAGCCUUGUGAAUAUGUGCAUAGAGACAGUCAUGAGAACGUGUGCAGAAAAUGGACUGUGAAUCAGCCUACACUGUGUUCAAUGUGCGUGUAUAGUCCAUCAUCUAAAAUGUGUGCAUGGAUGUGAGUAUGCAUAUGUGCUUAUUCCCAAAUGUUUGCUCGUUAUCUAAUGUUGCCAUGUUGCCAGCACACUGCUGGGCCGAUGAUGGGUGUGAGACCAGACUGGUGUUUUCUCAGCGUUUCUUUAUGAACUUCCGAGUGACGGAGAAAGGUCAGUUUCUUGUGGUACUGCAGUUUACUGAAAAUUUGCUUCAGGUUUAGUUUUGCUGCUUACUAUAAAAAAAAGUAUGCAUUUGAGCCUGCUUGUAACCGAUGUCAUGUGAGGUGUAGCUCAUUAUUAUUUAAUGAAGUAUGACAAAAAGCUAGGCUAAGCUGAAGGAACAGCAAGAAAAUUUGUUGUUUCUCAACAUCUAAGCUUGUUUGUAUUUUUCAGUGCUGAUCUAAUAGUGAUGGCUCCCAACAUUUUCGAAGCAGUGACACAAUGCGCUCUUGUCAUGGUAGACAUCCUGGCUUGAAUUACAUAAUUUUUGCAGUUUUCUGGCUUUCAUUACCAAUUUCUUGCUGAUGAAGCCUCACCUUUCAAGAACAAUGCUUUAGUGCACACACGAUUGAUGCGUUCAAAUGCCAUCAGCAGCGCUUGACUACUAUAACAAUGUGUCACCGUAAAUGUGUGUGCUCAUCAUCAUUGCUUCCAAGCUCCACAGUUUGAAUCACACAUCUUAUGCUGCAGUGUGGCUCUGCGAAAACCAUUUUGCACCCUAAGGUUUGUUGAAGCAACGUUUUUUCAGCUUUAGUGAUCUUACAAUAUUCUCACCAAUGGAGGGGAAAGCCACAACAUAUUUCAUCUACCAACAACCAUAGAAAACAUUGUUUUCUCUUAUGGUUAUUUACCUAGUUAAUAGUUGCUGGGCUUGGCUUAUGGCAAAAAAUUAGUCGUUGCUUCUUCAUCAUACAAUGUGUGUAAGAAUGUACCUCUUAUGUGAAAUUGUGCAAUUGUUCGUUUAAACUGAACACAAGAUUGUCACACGACACACUUUUGUAAGAAUAAUGUAAUAUGCAGUGAUCAAAAUUGGCACAUUUAUAGCAAACUGACAUUGCCCAGCUAUAUCAGAAAAAAAACAACCUAUUCCUCAAGUUACAUUCGAUUUAUAUGCUGCAUGUAUUCAUUAUUUCAUGCUCUCUAAGGUUAGCUAUGGCUCGUCAUGGCUGCUAUGGUUAGCUAUGGCAGCCUUGCCCGUCAACAAGCGUUUGCUUACCAUUCAAAGAGACACUAAUGUGAUGCAGUUAUACAGCUUAGACUGACAAAGGCUUUCUUUGUGAAUCAUUUUUCUUUUCCUUCUGCAGCAUAAGUUUACCAAAUUUUAUUUUUAAAUUUUGCAGCAAAAUUUGCGGAAAUGUAUGUUCACAUGAUGCCCUAGAUUUCUGAGUGUUCUUGUUAUGAAAAAUUUGUGUGCUAGAACCAACAUUUCGACAAGUGGACUUGUCUAAAAGAAUUUCGCAUCACAGGUUCCAAUCUGCCCAUGAAAGUGUUCUUUUUAGUUUUAGUCACAUUUGCUUGAUGAAAUUUCUUGACCUUAGCAUGGCCCCUCAGGGGACAAUGUACUGUUUACCAAUUAAGAACUACAUAGCCUUCGUGGAAAUCUAUGUCAUGUUUUCCAUGAAGGUUGCGUCACCAUAUGCAUUUUAUCUCUGUGCGUUUGCUCGCUUAGCCAGUCUCUUCCAAGUGGUGACUUGGUAUUGUGGAAGUGUAAUCUACAAAAGAAAUUGAUUUUUUCUUUAGUACCCCUUUAAUUGCAUUACACUUCAGUUGGCGAGGCUUGGUUUCUGGAGUGAAAUUCGGCAUGGUCCAAAAGCGGUCUCUUUUCCUUGUAGAGCAGUUGUGGCUGCAUUUGUGCAUAUAGCUGUACAUACAUCAUGCUCACUAACAAUUCAAAUCACAUCCUGGGAACAAUCUGUGGUCGUACAUGUGUCUGUCAUGCCAUCUAGCUUGAAUUGCUCGUUUUAUGACCGAUAAAUAUUAGUGUUUGAACAUGGUUUUAUUGCGAGCUCGAACAAGUAGUAUUCCAAAGAACUUUGAAUGCCCUGUUAGGUGUUUACAAUUGGUUAUGCUUUCUAUGUGCAUUUCUUAGCUAACAGUUAAAGGUCCUGAUCUUAUGCUAAUACACGAAUGCUGAAAAUAUGAAACCCAGUGGUAAAGUGGAAUACAAAUUAAGGCUGCUUGAGAGAAUCUGAUUCUUUAUGGCGUCUUCAUAGAAAUGCUCUCAUAAUCGUGCUCUACGCAUCUUUGUGGACAAGGACAAAGUGCAGCACUGAAUUUUGGCUGUGUGCUGAGCAUUUCUCUCGACCUCUGAGUAGUGGCUCUCUUUUCCCAGUCAAGAGUAACUUGAAUGAGUGAAUACAAAGGUUCUCAUUUCACUCUUAGCAUUGUCCAAACUGGAGGUGGUCUUUGAAUAUACCGUAGCCAAAAGAGAUCGGGACUGCUUAUUAUGCUACACAAAUGCACACUUGCCUGUAUAUCGAUCAAUUCUACUGUGUGGUAUGAAUGAAAAAAAAAAAGCUCUGUUACUAAGUGCAACGUCUUUAGUUUAUAAUCCAUGCACUUUUGUGUGGAGGUGUAUAAAAAAACUGUGCCUGCUUAUUUUGUUCAGGGGUGGUGUAGCUCAGUUACUUGGUGCCAUACUGGGAAGCGGGGCUGAUUUAGUGUUUACAUUACGACUGUUGUUCGCUCUACUCCUUUGCUAUCUGCCACUCAGAAAUGGACAGUCUUUGUCAGUGAUGCCCGAACUGUUGCUCACAGCACCGAGAAAAUGCACCAAGGAAAGAAUUGGAAGAGCAUCUCUACAUUGGUCGUACUCAAAAUGAAUCUUAAAUAUGUUUCCAUCACCUAGCUGUUUAGGGUACCAGUUGAUGCUCGAUAGUUUCGGUGAUUUCACUUGUUAGCUCACAUAUAUUGAAGCAUUUCCUAUUAGGAUUGUAGAUUUGGGGAAAUGGUGUUGAUUCAUGGCAAAUAUAAGCAAAUAUUGCAUUAACUUAUUACCGAAGUAAUUAAAUCUUAGUAACUCUGUUCAAGCUUGGUUAUCAAUGACUUGCACAGUCUCAAAAGAAAAAAAAAUUCUUUAGUCUGAAGAGCAGUUGAAGGCUGACUCAGUUGUGGCUUGCUUUAUUGUAUCCUGUGGUCCUUAAAGGAGCACUGACAUCACAUUUACUCAUGUCAAGAUUUUUGCAUCAACGAGUAGUUAUCAAGUCCCUAGUAGUGAUUUGCAACCUAUAACACAACUGAGGAACGAAUAACUUGUCACUUUUAUUGAUCUAUAUCACUGGUAUCUAGUACGAUUUAAAAUGAGCAGCAAUUGCACUGCAAGGUAGCGCUACCAGUGGUGCUACCUUGCAGUCACCUUCAGAUCGUACCACAGUUGGCCACCUCUCCGCGAAAAAGAGUGAUGUCAGACUCAGGUGCUCUGCACACAUUCAGUCAUGUCUUGCCACGUGCGUUGCCCUCACUACCGUAUGAGCUGUCGACUAGGGUUGAAUUCUAUAGUCUGGAGGUUGGAAUCGCCGCAAUUCGCGACGUCUCGAAUCAUUUUUGCUUCGAUCAACUCUUUGCAGAACAGCAAUUCUAAAAUGGACACUGUUCCAAGCGACGAUGAGGACGUUCCCGAGAAUGCAUGCUUCAGUCAUGCUCGCUCUGGUGUCUCAAUUGGCUAUGUUUGUGUGAGCGUAUAGCCUAGUAUACGAAAAGGGGUCAAUGGCAUAUUGGUGUAAUUAAUGCGCACCAGCAGAGAAAUAGAAUACAUUCUUUGCUUGCCAGGUUCUUCUUUGAGCCUCCAGAUGGCCCCACCUAUCCAGCCUCUCACAGUUGCGGCAGUAACCGGGCAUUAUGCAGACGCAAAUAAGUGCACAGACUCACUAUUAACGAUACCUGCGUGCUACUUCUCAGCGACGAUAUCGGUCUAUACGCUACUCCACUUCGACAUCUUGUGGUCGUGUUGGCGUGUAACAUGCGUGUAAUGAAAAGACACCCUCACUGCACUUUUUCAGCGCUUCGAACCUGACGACUCCAACUCAUAAUUAUUCCCUGUCAUGCUGACUGACGAGCACCCGUUGAAUCCUGCUCUUGUCUUUCGCCUGUAUUUCAUGGUGGUUGGCAUCUUGAUAAUUUCAAGAAAUCAUUCAAAGUGGUGUGACAAAGAUCAGACAUGACAAGUGAGUACGUUUUCAGGAUUUAGUGCCAGUCAGCACCACAAUAAUAAUGUUCUGAUCGAUGAUAUCAUCGCUAAUAGAGCUACGUCACUCAGGAACGCAUCUGUGAAUUGUAUCACAUCGAACACGUAGCACUAGUGUCGAUGUUGCAGGGGCACUCCAUUUUUCAUUAAGCUCUCGUACGCUGUUUGUUGUCAAAAUAAAAUAAUUUUUGUUGACCGACGCUGUUCAAAUUUAGUCAGGAGGACAUACGCACACCGAGAAAUCCAAUGAAGGACACUUCUCGAUUCUGAAAUUAUGUCAGUGCUUCUUUAACAAUGUCAGGCCUCAGUUGGUCUUGAUGACGGCAAAUAAUCUUCACCCGGGCUAAUUUGUGGGUGCGCGGCAAUUUACAGCAUUGCAUUGCAAAGUGUACUCAUUGUAAAUGUGCUCUUUGCUUAUUUUUGCCACGGAAAUCUAAAUUACAUAUAUGAGUUUGAAUUGUGUAGCAUGUCUGCAUAUUGCUUUUAACGAAAAACUUUGUGCUAUUGUGAAAAACUUUGUGCAAUGAAAAGCAUUGUGCUUGCAAAAAUCAAACCCAAAUCGUUUCUUGGAGUGCCCUUAGAAGACUGUUGCUCAGAAUCGAAGAUUAGUGCAAGGCUUUGGAUCAAGCAGGAAAGAAUGCUUAUGUGUGGUGCAGAAAACAAUGAAACAAUGUCAAGUAUGGCCGACAUUCUUAGCAACUUAAUCAUCGCUAGUAGUGUUGUCCUAAGCAUGCAUUGACUGAAGUGAGAAACACGACCAGAACCAUGAACCAGACUGGACAUGCUAGGGAAAAAUGCUGUGAUGGAUUUUGCAGAGAAAAGAUGGCUUAAAUGUAAUUUGUUUAAAUUUAGGAGUUUAGGAAAGAAUAUUACAUUCUUGAACAAUGGCAGCUCUUCAACAAGUGCUUGCUAUAAUUUCUUCAGGGUUUCAAAUUCCCAUGACAGCACUGCUGAAGCAGCCACCUCCCUCCCGUGCAACAGUGGCCGCCUUAGUACUUCAUGUCAUGUUGCUGUCACACAAUAUUUGUUCCUGUCAUUACUCGGAGGUGCGUUAACACUUGGUUGGAAUUUUCAAAAUCAUGAAAUGCACCACAUGUACUGUGUACGUACCAGUCCCAAAUGAAUGACUUUCAAUAUAAAACAACAUUAUUAUCACAGAAGCCGCAGUGUCAACACUCUUUUAAAAUUGCAAUUACACUUUUGUGCUUUGUGCCGAGUAUGGUUGUUAAGGGGCUGUUGAAAAUGACGUCAAAAAUGUAUUACCUCUGCAGAUAGUUGCAAUAGACCCAGUCGUUGAAUUAGGAAAAAGGUCUAAAGAAUAUACCUUUUUUAUCUGUCUUAAAGAUUCUAGAACAAAGGUUUAACAAUCUGCCAAAAGUUGUAUGGCUGGCAUGUGUUGUCAAAUAUUUGUGCAAAGCGAGAACUCUUAUAGAAGGCUUGAGUCUGGUAUAGCAAACAGCAAGGCUAAGCCAACAUUUUUGUACUUCACCGCACUAACAUACUCACUUGUACAUUCGCAUGACUCAGUAGCGAUUGUUUAUUUCAUUUCAACUAACUCCCACACUCGAUUUCAAAAGACAUAUCACAAACUUUAUAUAAGCUUGCUUGCACUUUAGAAGACACCUUGCUUACAUUGUGUCACCGGCGUGCAACUAGUCAUUAAUUUUCUACUGGAGACGUUCUUUGGUUCUGUUGAAUGAAAACAAUCUACAGGGAAUGCUUUGUUGAAAUGUGUGUUGCCAUCUUGAAGAAUUUUGCUUGUUGUGUGUUAUGCUUGGGCUAAAUAUAUUGUAUAUGCUUUUGUGGGUGAUCCUUUGCGAGGUCCUUGGAGCAUGUCCUUGGAGCAUGUUACGUUGCAGUGAGUUACCUCUAAAAUUUAAACUUCAAGUAUUAGGUAAUUAUCAGGUAAAACAAUAAUUAAUACUAAAAUUGCAUCGGUGGUUGUCAUGAAACAUACCAUGCUGAGGUAAAAUUUUCAAAGAAGUUUUAUAAACACUCUGCCUGUAUUUGAUCUAUGAAAAACCUCAUGCUUCGACAGUUGAGUUCUUGGGUAACGCUGCUGUAAUAGAGCUGCCGAUUCGCAUGCUUCAAAGCAUGAUGUUCCAACCUCUGAUGCAAAGUUUUGUCUCGCACAUUGGUACUACUAACACAACGUUGAAAAAAAAAAAGAACGAAGCUUUCAGGAUGUUCAGUAUUUCUCUCUUAAAUAAGAGUAAAUUUGUGUGGGAACGAAACUCUGCAGCGUGUAUAUCAAGAAGGUAAAAGUGAAUGCAUCCUCGUGUCUGUGUAUAAAAGCUGUGUACAGCCACGCCAACUGUUUUCCUGUGAAUACGAGAUACUAUACAUAUAAAGAAUGCACAUAUAUUUUACUGUAUCAUACAGCUGUUUUAUGACAAAAGAAGAUGUUGUGGCCGUAUUCAAUGUUGCAACGGCAGAAUAAAACGUUUCACCAAAGCUGCA